AGCGUUCUCCAUCCGUGGCCUGAAGUUGUCGGCUCCAAGAAUGAUUCUUGGCGAAUGCGUUGUGUCCUGCGUCAACCUAAAAACCACGAACUAAUGGCGUUCAAGUAUUCUCCGUCAAAUCUGAAAAAACACGAACAGGCCCACUCAAGCAUGUCUCAGCGACUGCAAUCUGGACCAGUAGGGGAGAGUUCCGGCACUAUGACUUUUCCCCUUUAGCAAACAUCAUCAGUUUCCAGAGCAGUCCCCGCUUCACCAGCAAAGGCCUGUGAUACCUCCACCAUUUCAGUGUUGGUCUGUGUGAAAAAGAGGGCAGAGAGCUGGCAGCCUGCAUGGAUAAUGUAACAGAAAGCAGUCCACUGUGGACUGUGGUUCCCUCAGACAUCAGGGGCCAGAGUGUAGUGUCCUUGCAGCCUUCUGUCAUUGGUGACAUGCUCAUUGGUAUGGGCCGAAAGCCAGUGCAUUCAUCACAAUCGAAGAGAGGGAUAUGACAGUGGCUAAUGUGUAACAACUGAUACAACCCUGAGUCACAUCUCCUCCCUGGAAGAGUCGUUUCCCACUGGAUCCAGCCUACCAGAUGUGAUAUUCUAUUACAGAUCUAGUGAGACAACCCAGGCUUGUAAACCGGGCAGAUCAACCACCAUCCAACUAAGCUGCAACCCGACAGAGACAGCCAAAGACCACAUCAGUCUGCAAAGCAAUUGCUCUGAGGGGACGUGUGAUGGAUGUUCGUUUCACUUUCUGUGGGAGAGCCAGCAUGCGUGUCCACUCUGCACUAAAAAUCACUACAGAGAGAUUGCCAGUGCAUACAUCCAGGGAAUUCAGGUACAGUAGUACACAAUUGUGGACACCUUAAUAACUCUUUUUGAAAUUCAAUAUGGUCUGAAUGAAACGAUUGUCUCUAUUAAAUGUGAUGCAGAGGAGAAAAAUCAAACUUUAUCUGUGUGUGUGUGUGUGUGUGUGGGCCCUGUGAUGGCCUGAUGGCCUGUCCAAGGUGUCUCCCUGCCUGCCGCCUAGUGACUGCUGGAAUUGGCUCCAGCAUCCCUGCGAGCAGGAUAAGCAGUUCAGAUAAUGGAUGGAUGGAUGGAGAUAUAUACAGUCACCGGCCACUUUAUUAGGUACACCUGUCCAACUGCUCGUUAACGCAAAUUUCUAAUCAGCCAAUCACAUGGCAGCAACUCAAUGCAUUUAGGCAUGUAGACAUGGUCAAGACGAUCUGCUGCAGUUCAAACCGAGCAUCAGAAUGGGGAAGAAAGGUGAUUUAAGUGCCUUUGAACGUGGCAUGGUUGUUGGUGCCAGACGGGCUGGUCUGAGUAUUUCAGAAACUGCUGAUCUACUGGGAUUUUCAUGCACAACCAUCUCUAGGGUUUACAGAGAAUGGUCCGAAAAAGAGAAAAUAUCCGGUGAGCGGCAGCUCUGUGGGCGAAAAUGCCUUGUUGAUGCCAGAGGUCGGAGGAGAAUGGCCAGACUGGUUCGAGCUGAUAGAAAGGCAACAGUAACUCAAAUAACCACUCAUUACAACCGAGGUAUGCAGAAGAGCAUCUCUGAACGCACAACACGUCGAACCUUGAGGCAGGUGGGCUACAGCAGCAGAAGACCACACCGGGUGCCACUCCUGUCAGCUAAGAACAGGAAACUGAGGCUACAAUUCGCACAGGCUCACCAAAAUUGGACAAUAGAAGAUUGGAAAAACGUUGCCUGAUCUGAUGAGUCUCGAUUUCUGCUGCGACAUUCGGAUGGUAGGGUCAGAAUUUGGCAUCAACAACAUGAAAGCAUGGAUCCAUCCUGCCUUGUAUCAACGGUUCAGGCUGGUGGUGGUGGUGUAAUGGUGUGGGGGAAAUUUUCUUGGCACACUUUGGGCCCCUUAGUACCAAUUGAGCAUCGUGUCAACGCCACAGCCUACCUGAGUAUUGUUGCUGACCAUGUCCAUCCCUUUAUGACCACAGUGUUCCCAUCUUCUGAUGGCUACUUCCAGCAGGAUAACGCGCCAUGUCAUAAAGCUCGAAUCAUCUCAGACUGGUUUCUUGAACAUGACAAUGAGUUCAUUGUACUCAAAUGGCCUCCACAGUCACCUGAUCUCAAUCCAAUAGAGCACCUUUGGGAUGUGGUGGACCGGGAGAUUCGCAUCAUGGAUGUGCAGCCAACAAAUAUGCAGCAACUGCGUGAUGCUAUCAUGUCAAUAUGGACCAAACUCUCUGAAGAAUGUUUCCAGUACCUUGUUGAAUCUAUGCUACGAAGGAUUAAGGCAGUUCUGAAGGCAAAAGGGGGUCCAACCCGGUACUAGCAAGGUGUACCUAAUAAAGUGGCCAGUGAGUGUAUAUAUUCCACUCCUUAUUAGUUGAGCACUUACAACACCAUUGACGGUUUCGGAAAAAAACGUUAUAUAUAUAUAUAUAUAUAUAUCAAACUUUGUUAAAAGAAACACUCAACGGUAGGGAAAGUGCUCAACAAAUAAGGAGCAAAA